CUCCUAACAGGGGUCAUGCCAGUAGGAAUUCUUCGCCAAUGGACGAAGUUCUGAUUGGAGCAUGCGCGUGAGUGAAGAAGUUUCGAUCGUAAGCUCUGUUGUAAGGGAGACAGUACAGAGUACUGCCUGUAACUGACGGUACUUAUUAGAAAGCCACGGCUACUACGUGCCAGCAGCCGCGGUAUACGUAGGUGGCAAGCGUUGUCCGGAAUUAUUGGGCGUAAAGCGCGCGCAGGCGGCCUUUUAAGUCUGAUGUGAAAGCCCACGGCUCAACCGUGGAAGGUCAUUGGAAACUGAAGGGCUUGAGUACAGAAGAGGAAAGCGGAAUUCCACGUGUAGCGGUGAAAUGCGUAGAGAUGUGGAGGAACACCAGUGGCGAAGGCGGCUUUCUGGUCUGUAACUGACGCUGAGGCGCGAAAGCGUGGGGAGCAAACAGGAUUAGAUACCCUGGUAGUCCACGCCGUAAACGAUGAGUGCUAAGUGUUAGGGGGUUUCCGCCCCUUAGUGCUGGAGCAAACGCAUUAAGCACUCCGCCUGGGGAGUACGGCCGCAAGGCUGAAACUCAAAGGAAUUGACGGGGACCCGCACAAGCGGUGGAGCAUGUGGUUUAAUUCGACGCUACGCGAAGAACCUUACCAGGUCUUGACAUCCCACUGACCGGUAUAGAGAUAUACCUUUCCCUUCGGGGACAGUGGUGACAGGUGGUGCAUGGUUGUCGUCAGCUCGUGUCGUGAGAUGUUGGGUUAAGUCCCGUAACGAGCGCAACCCUUGAUCUUAGUUGCCAGCAUUAAGUUGGGCACUCUAAGGUGACUGCCGGUGAUAAACCGGAGGAAGGUGGGGAUGACGUCAAAUCAUCAUGCCCCUUAUGACCUGGGCUACACACGUGCUACAAUGGAUGAUACAGAGGGUUGCCAACCCGCGAGGGGGAGCUAAUCCCAUAAAAUCAUUCCCAGUUCGGAUUGCAGGCUGCAACUCGCCUGCAUGAAGCCGGAAUCGCUAGUAAUCGUGGAUCAGCAUGCCACGGUGAAUACGUUCCCGGGUCUUGUACACACCGCCCGUCACACCACGAGAGUUUGUAACACCCGAAGUCGGUGAGGUAACCCUUAGGGGAGCCAGCCGCCGAAGGUGGGACAGAUGAUUGGGGUGAAGUCGUAACAAGGUAACCAAGGGCGAAUCGCGCCGCUAUC
rnacentral:rRNA from 1 species